UACGAAGGGGGCUAGCGUUGCUCGGAAUCACUGGGCGUAAAGGGUGCGUAGGCGGGUCUUUAAGUCAGGGGUGAAAUCCUGGAGCUCAACUCCAGAACUGCCUUUGAUACUGAAGAUCUUGAGUUCGGGAGAGGUGAGUGGAACUGCGAGUGUAGAGGUGAAAUUCGUAGAUAUUCGCAAGAACACCAGUGGUGAAGGCGGCUCACUGGCCCGAUACUGACGCUGAGGCACGAAAGCGUGGGGAGCAAACAGG
rnacentral:rRNA from 1 species